CAGGACCUUCGUAUUGUGAGGCAGAUGCACUAACCCCUCUUCCACCGUGCUGCCCUGAGAAGUAUUUUAUUCUCCUCAAAUAUUUGAAAUAUUUUGCUUUUGUGCGCAUGCUCAGUAUCGUUGGGUAGCAGACAUCGACAGAACAGCUCGCCAGCUAGCCGCCUAGCUUCUGAUAUUUGUUUCCAAAUGUGACUUUUUAGCACAUUGACAUUCUGUUUUUUUUAAAGAAGAAAGGAAGAAGGAAUUGGGUCAGUCCAAAGUUAUUUUUUGCUCCACAGAGACGCUACAUGUGGCUAUCACAAUCCCAAGUCUUCACUGCGUGGGCUGCCCUGCAAAGCGUCACAGUGUGAACCCGGUGACCCGGCCACAGUUAAAGAAGGAUGCCCUCGUGCAUGAAGGUGUCUCCUCCUGGAUGAACCCCCUGGAGCUCUUCCAGACCUGUGCGGAUGCGCUCCCUAAGGACAAAGUAGAGGUCAAAGCCCCCAAAGCAGGAGGACGAGCCAGCCUCCCUUUUGUUCCGGUUGGGUCCGACAUGAGCGAGAGCAACUAGAACCAGAGUGGCAGCAAUCACGAUUGGAAGCCCGGAGGAUCUUCUACUCCAGCAUGAAGGCAUUAUUCCAUCUGAAGAUCCCACACAGGUGAAGGUGAAGAGUACAAGAGUGUCAAUACUGAUGGCUCUCUUUGACGUGUCCUUCUGUCGGUCCUCUACAAUCACCCCCCUUGCUGUGCAAAACAAUCAAUAAUCCAACACAGAAGUGUAACUCAAAGGAUGAAGUGGAGAGGAGAGAGAAAGGCAAUGUUUUGAGUUGGAGUGCACUCUCAUCAAUGGCCCCUGCAACACAGAUGAUGCAAAGAUCCUCCCCAACCCAACCUCCCACUUGGGCUGAUUUUUGUUCACCGCAUGACCUUGCAAAAUAGGGAUCUUCUGACUUUUUAACUCUCAUUGUUUGCAAGGUCCUCCUCCGCCCCCCUAAGUCUUUCUGCCUCUUGCUCCCUUAAGGUGAUAAAAAC